UACGUAGGGUGCGAGCGUUAAUCGGAAUUACUGGGCGUAAAGCGUGCGCAGGCGGUUCGUUGUGUCCGAUGUGAAAGCCCCGGGCUUAACCUGGGAAUGGCAUUGGAAACUGGCGAGCUUGAGUGCGGCAGAGGGGGGUGGAAUUCCGCGUGUAGCAGUGAAAUGCGUAGAGAUGCGGAGGAACACCGAUGGCGAAGGCAGCCCCCUGGGUCGACGCUGACGCUCAGGCACGAAAGCGUGGGGAGCAAACAGG
rnacentral:rRNA from 1 species